rnacentral:rRNA from 1 species
AAAUGACUCUCGGCAACGGAUAUCUCGGCUCUCGCAUCGAUGAAGAACGUAGCGAAAUGCGAUACUUGGUGUGAAUUGCAGAAUCCCGUGAACCAUCGAGUCUUUGAACGCAAGUUGCGCCCGAAGCCAUCCGGUUGAGGGCACGUCUGCCUGGGCGUCACACACCGU